CGUUGGCGGCGUGGAUUAGGCAUGCAAGUCGUGCGAGAAGGGUUUGAUGCUUGCAUUAGACCUGGAAAGCGGCGAAAGGGAGAGUAACGCGUGGAUACCUACCCCCGGACCCAGGAUAGCUGCGGGAAACUGCGGGUAAUACUGGAUAAUGUCUCCGGACCAAAGGUGUGAUUCCGUCCGAGGAUGGGUCCGCGUCCUAUUAGCUUGUUGGUGGGGUAAUGGCCUACCAAGGCAAAGAUGGGUAGCAGGUGUGAGAGCAUGGCCCGUCUCACUGGGACUGAGACACUGCCCAGACACCUACGGGUGGCUGCAGUCGAGAAUCUUCCGCAAUGGGCGAAAGCCUGACGGAGCGACGCCGCGUGCGGGAUGAAGGCCUUCGGGUUGUAAACCGCUGUCAGAGGGGAACAAAUCCGUAGGGGUUCUCUCCUACGGUUGAGUGAUCCUCAGAGGAAGUCCGGGCUAAGUUCGUGCCAGCAGCCGCGGUAAGACGAACCGGACGAACGUUAUUCGGAAUCACUGGGCUUAAAGAGUGCGUAGGCGGCAUUGUAGGUGGGGUGUGAAAUCCCUCGGCUCAACCGAGGAACUGCGCUCCAAACCCCAAUGCUUGAGGGAGGCAGAGGUGAGCGGAACUGAUGGUGGAGCGGUGAAAUGCGUUGAUAUCAUCAGGAACACCAGUGGCGUAGGCGGCUCACUGGGCCUCUUCUGACGCUGAGGCACGAAAGCUAGGGUAGCGAACAGGAUUAGAUACCCUGGUAGUCCUAGCUGUAAACGAUGAGCACUUGUUCGAGGGGACCUCCACAUCCUCUCGGACGUAGCGAAAGUGCUAAAGCUCCCCCUGGGGAGUAUGGUCGCAAGGCAA
rnacentral:rRNA from 1 species